UGAGGCUGAGGUAGCAAUGUAUUGCAGUUCUGGCCAAUGAAAUAUAAACAGAAGCCUGCUGGUUGAUUUCCAGAAAGAAUGCUUUGCCCUUUACCCGUCACCCGUUUCUCUUCUUCCUACCUAAAAUAAGGACGAAAUGCUUGGAGGAACAACAGACACCCUGCGACCAUGAAGACAAGACAAAGUCACAUACUAAGGUCAGAGGCCCACGGUCACCAAAAACCCAGGAGACCUGAGGCCGGCCGGGACUGAGAGGCACAAGCAGGCUGAGGAGUGGACAGAAGAGCAAGGAAUGGACAGAAGAGAAGCCUAGAGGAUGAAAGCCAGCUCUGCAAAGAGCUUCCAAGAGUCUUCCUGCCACAGAAAUUCCACUUGGCCACUGAAAUGGCCCUGGCCCUAGGCCUGGAGAGAGGUAGUGACAAGCUGCUCACAGCAAUGACUUUCAGUCAACAUAUCUUGCCUGUGCUUCUAAGGGUGGAGAUGCAACUGUGAGUAGCUCACUGGGUCAGGCAGGUCACAAACCAAGCUCCUCCCACACAGUGAGUUCACAGAGACAGAGAGAAGGAAGGGAAGGAGGUUCCCGGCUCUAGGGAUUCCUUAGGUCAAGGAGGGACAGGGUCCCUGUACUUGGGGACCCCCCAGUCUGACGGGAAGAUACAAGUCAACCCUCUUAGAGCCGUGGAAUGAAUGCCACCUACAGCUCCUCUCUUCAGGAAGGAAAUCCAGUCUGAUGGAAGAGACAUGGCCCCUAUUGUAUCAUUCUUGCCUUCUCACCUAUGUCACACAAAGGAGUGAAGGAGGUGGCAGGCCCUGGGAUAGGUCUAUUUCUGAGGUGAAUGGAGGCUCUCAGGGGACGUUCCCACAGUCCUGCUGUCAAGGGCCCCUUCCCCUCCCUCCCUCCCUGCCACGAUGCCUUACCCACUGGAAUGAAUCCUGAGCUCUGAGCCUAUUCCUAACACAGAAUGCUGACCCCUUUGUCACGUCCCGCUUUCCCUCCAACUUCGUUUUUUGUUAUUUUUCCCACCCAGACUUCCACCCCGCCCACUUGCCAUUUCCCAAGCUCGCCCGGGGAGACUAGACUCAACGGCCCACUGGUGAUCUUGUUUUACAUGAGACAUUUCCAAAAAAGACCAAAAAAUCCUUUCCAGGAAAAUGCCAUUUUAAAAAGUCAGCUCCAGACACGGCGGCAACAUUAGGAAAACAAAGGACUUGGCAGAAAGGUUUUCUGCAUGGAGACUUUCUCUCGAAAAUACCUUUUCCAAAUUGUCUCCAGUGGGGAUGACUCCAAGGGUCAGUUCUGGAGCACCCAGGCAAUUGCAGACAGAGUCACUUCUGGUUUGUACACUGUCCCAGGUCUUUCCUUACCUGCUACCACCCUGGCAUCUUCCAGGCUUAAACAAAGAGCCCCUUCCAAGGGUCCCCAAAGGAAGCAGCUGUCUCUGAGGGUCAAGAAAUAAUGCUGCUUCCUCCCUCCAGAGGGGACUCCUUAGCCCCUCUCUUGCCACCAUCACUAAGCAGGGGGCCCAGGUUAGGAGCUGGAGGGACAUAGUGCGCUUAGUAGAGAGCUUGUCUUCUCUUGUCAUCCAAGUGAGAGGAAUAUACAGCUUCCCCUGGGACAUACAUAGUGGUGUUCCCCUUUCUGCAUGUAUCAGGUAUAAUUAAUCAGGUUGACGUCACAUAUAUAAUAAUAAUGGCCAUUAUUUAUUAAACGCUCCUGAUGUGUCCACCCGUAA